CCAAUUUUUAUUAUUAGUUUGUGGUGUUGCCUCGGUAACCAUCACUAAACUACUAAUGUAAACGUUGAACUAGAUCAAUUAGUGUGUGGGGUAUAUAUGUAUCUCACACACUGAUAACCUUUUUCUAAUAUUACAAAUUAUACAUACUACAAACAAAACAAACAAAAAAGCUUUAAUAGGACUUAUAUAUAGGCUGAGUGGGUAAAAUCCUCAGCUUUAAAAAUUAAUAACUAUUA
rnacentral:misc_RNA from 1 species